rnacentral:rRNA from 1 species
AGAGUUUGAUCCUGGCUCAGGAUGAACGCUGGCGGCGUGCCUUAGKCWRCAAGUCGAACGGAUCUGGGCUUGCCCAGAUUAGUGGCAGACGGGUGAGUAACGCGUAGGAAUCUACCCUUUGGUGGGGAAUAACGGUCCGAAAGGAUCGCUAAUACCGCAUAAGAUCGCAAGAUGAAAGACCGUAACUGGUCGCCGAUGGAGGAGCCUGCGUCCUAUCAGCUUGUUGGUGAGGCAAUGGCUCACCAAGGCUAUGACGGGUAGGGGGUGUGAGAGCAUGAUCCCCCACAAUGACACUGCGACACGGGUCAUACACCUACGGGUGGCAGCAACCGGGAAUAUUGCGCAAUGGACGAAAGUCUGACGCAGCGACGCCGCGUGCGGGAUGAAGGCCUUCGGGUCGUAAACCGCUGUGGAGAGGGAAGAAUAAUGACGGUACCUCUCUAGAAAGCACCUGCUAACUACGUGCCAGAAGCCUCGGUAAUACGUAGGGUGCAAGCGUUAUCCGGAUUUACUGGGCGUAAAGCGUCCGUAGGCGGUUAUAUAAGUGGUAGAUCAAAUACCUCGGCUCAACUGAGGAAAGGUUUAUCAAACUGUAUUGACUAGAGUUAGUUUGGGGAUAUCGGAAUUGACAGUGGAGGGGUGAAAUCCGUUGAUAUUGUCAAGAACGCCAAAGGUGAAGACAGAUAUCUAAGACUAUACUGACGCUAAAGGACGAAAGCUAGGGGAGCGAACUGGAUUAGAGACCCAGGUAGUCCUAGCCGUAAACGAUGAACACUAGCUGGUGGGUUUAUUCUCACCGGCGUAAGCUAACGCGUUAAGUGUUCCGCCUGGGGAGUACGGCCGCAAGGUUAAAACUCAAAGGAAUUGGCGGGAAAACGCACAACCGGCGUCCCAUGUGGUUUAAUUCGAUACGAAACGAAGAACCUUACCUGGGUUUGACAUCCUCGGAAAGCUCUGGAAACAGAGCCGUGCCCGCAAGGGAAUCGAGUGACAGCUGCUGCAUGGUUGUCGUCAGCUCGUGUCGUGAGGCGUCCGCUUAAGUGCGGUAACGAGCGCAACCCCUGUUCUGUGUUAAAUAUUCACAGAAGACUGCCUUGAUUACAUUCAAGGAGGAAGGAGGGGACGACGUCAAAUCAUCAUGGCGCUUACGUCCAGGGCAACACACAUGGGGUAAUGGACAGCACAACGGGUCGCGAAGGAGUAAUCCGGAGCUAAUCCUAAUAAAACUGUCCUCAGUUCGAAUUGUGGUCUGCAACUCGACCACAUGAAGGGGAGUCGGUAGUAAUCGCAGGUCAGCUAUACUGCGGUGAAUACGUUCUCGUUUUUUGCACACACUGCCCGUCAAGUCKWCRAAGCCAGCAGUGCCCGAAGUCGGUCCCCAAGUUCGCUUGACCGCCUAAGGCAAGGUUGGUAAUGGGGGCUAAGUCGUAACAAGGUAACC